GACGAACGCUGGCGGCGUGCUUAACACAUGCAAGUCGAACGGAGUGGCGGACGGGUGAGUAACGCGUAAUCAACCUGCCCUUCAGAGGGGGAUAACAGUUGGAAACGACUGCUAAUACCGCAUACGGAAGGAGGGGAAGGCGUGUGAUUAGCUAGUUGGAGGGGUAACGGCCCACCAAGGCGAGGAUCAGUAGCCGGUCUGGGAGGAGGAACGGCCACACUGGGAAUGAGAAACGGCCCAGACUCCUAAGGGAGGGCGCAGUGGGGAAUCUUCCGAAAUGGAAGAAAGUCUGACGGAGCAACGCCGGGUGAGUGAUGACGGCCUUCGGGUUUGAAAGCUCCUUUAAGCGGGACGCGGUACCGGAAUAGAAAGCCACGGCUAACUACGUGCCAGCAGCCGCGGUAAUAC
rnacentral:rRNA from 1 species